rnacentral:rRNA from 1 species
GUGGCGAACGGGUGAGUAACACGUGAGUAACCUGCCCUUGACUCUGGGAUAAGCGUUGGAAACGACGUCUAAUACCGGAUACGAGCUGGGACCGCAUGGUCACCAGCUGGAAAGAACUUCGGUCAAGGAUGGACUCGCGGCCUAUCAGCUAGUUGGUGGGGCAACGGCUCACCAAGGCGACGACGGGUAGCCGGCCUGAGAGGGUGACCGGCCACACUGGGACUGAGACACGGCCCAGACUCCUACGGGAGGCAGCAGUGGGGAAUAUUGCACAAUGGGCGCAAGCCUGAUGCAGCAACGCCGCGUGAGGGACGACGGCCUUCGGGUUGUAAACCUCUUUUAGCAGGGAAGAAGCGAAAGUGACGGUACCUGCAGAAAAAGCACCGGCUAACUACGUGCCAGCAGCCGCGGUAAUACGUAGGGUGCAAGCGUUGUCCGGAAUUAUUGGGCGUAAAGAGCUCGUAGGCGGUCUGUCGCGUCUGCUGUGAAAACCCGAGGCUCAACCUCGGGCCUGCAGUGGGUACGGGCAGACUAGAGUGCGGUAGGGGAGAUUGGAAUUCCUGGUGUAGCGGUGGAAUGCGCAGAUAUCAGGAGGAACACCGAUGGCGAAGGCAGAUCUCUGGGCCGUAACUGACGCUGAGGAGCGAAAGCGUGGGGAGCGAACAGGAUUAGAUACCCUGGUAGUCCAC